rnacentral:rRNA from 1 species
CUACUGGAAACGGUGGCUAAUACCGCAUAACGUCGCAAGACCAAAGAGGGGGACCUUCGGGCCUCUUGCCAUCAGAUGUGCCCAGAUGGGAUUAGCUUGUUGGUGAGGUAACGGCUCACCAAGGCGACGAUCCCUAGCUGGUCUGAGAGGAUGACCAGCCACACUGGAACUGAGACACGGUCCAGACUCCUACGGGAGGCAGCAGUGGGGAAUAUUGCACAAUGGGCGCAAGCCUGAUGCAGCCAUGCCGCGUGUAUGAAGAAGGCCUUCGGGUUGUAAAGUACUUUCAGCGGGGAGGAAGGUGUUGUGGUUAAUAACCGCAGCAAUUGACGUUACCCGCAGAAGAAGCACCGGCUAACUCCGUGCCAGCAGCCGCGGUAAUACGGAGGGUGCAAGCGUUAAUCGGAAUUACUGGGCGUAAAGCGCACGCAGGCGGUCUGUCAAGUCGGAUGUGAAAUCCCCGGGCUCAACCUGGGAACUGCAUUCGAAACUGGCAGGCUUGAGUC